CCAUUCCUGCAACGCACGUUUACAACGGUUGUCUCAAACCGAUGCUAGUUUUCCGGGAACUCUACAUCCACCUACUGAUAGCAAGCCGGCCUUCUGAGCGGGACGUUAAAGGUAGUUGUGCGGGUACCCACCUGCUUUUACGCGGGCUUUGAGACACUUAUAGUGACGACGAAGCGGGUUUGGG
rfam:Anaerobacillus macyae strain DSM 16346 super1, whole genome shotgun sequence.